GUAGGCCUUGUUGAUCCGGUUGCAUCUUUUAAGACUUGGACAAAUUUUUAGAUAGCAUUCAAGAUCAACUCUACAUUCAAGGACUAGCUCGGUCUGCCAACUCGAACUCAUUUGUGGAUCAAAUAUUAUGUAAAGAUUGAAAGUUAGCAAACGCAUCAAAGACGGAGAUACGCGUAGAAGAUGUCCCGACCUCAUGAUAUAACCACACUGAGGCUGAUGCUCAAGUCGGAGGGUUUGGCGAAGUGUACACACCUUAUAUCGCUCACGGCCAUGGCCAUGGUCACGAAUACGGUUAUCCCGCUCAUGGAUAUGGUUAUGACUAUGCUCCCAGCUACAACUACGGACACGGCCAUAUCUACGAUAAGCAGUACGGAUAAGGACAUGAUGUCACUUAUGGUUACGAACACGACUACGUGGCUCCUCAUUACUCUGAUUACGGCCAUGACCACCAAUACGGAUACGGCCAUUACGAGCCCAGCUACGGACAUCAUCCCCAGUGCUAUGAAAAUGUACACUUAUAAUUCGUCUAUUUAUUACCUUUCAAUCUUUACAUGAUAUUUGGUCUACCAACGAAUUUGUAUUAGUAGACCGAGCUAGUCCUUGAAUGUAAGGUUGAUCUGGAA